GUGAAAUUCCGUCGGAAUCUGGGAGGACCAUCUCCUAAGGCUAAAUACUCUCUAGUGACCGAUAGUGAACCAGUACCGUGAGGGAAAGGUGAAAAGCACCCCGGAAGGGGAGUGAAAUAGAACCUGAAACCGUGUGCUUACAAGUAGUCAGAGCCCGUUAAUGGGUGAUGGCGUGCCUUUUGUAGAAUGAACCGGCGAGUUACGAUUUGAUGCAAGGUUAAGCAGUAAAUGUGGAGCCGUAGCGAAAGCGAGUCUGAAUAGGGCGUUUAGUAUUUGGUCGUAGACCCGAAACCAGGUGAUCUACCCUUGGUCAGGUUGAAGUUCAGGUAACACUGAAUGGAGGACCGAACCGACUUACGUUGAAAAGUGAGCGGAUGAACUGAGGGUAGCGGAGAAAUUCCAAUCGAACCUGGAGAUAGCUGGUUCUCUCCGAAAUAGCUUUAGGGCUAGCCUCAAGUGAUGAUUAUUGGAGGUAGAGCACUGUUUGGACGAGGGGCCCCUCUCGGGUUACCGAAUUCAGACA
rnacentral:rRNA from 1 species